rnacentral:lncRNA from 10 species
CAAUGCUGUGUAGCCAGAGCCUAGACAAAAGUUACAGCACCUGGGAGAUCAGUGCAGAGAUAUGUCACAAUGUCCCCAGUAGGCAGAGACCAGGCAAGAGUUGGAUCACCUCGGGAUCAGUGCAGAGAUAUGUCUCAAUCCCCCUGUGGGCACAGCCUAGACAAGAGUUACAUCACCUCGGUUAACAGUGCAGAGAUAUGUCAAAAUGCCCCUGUAGGCAGAGCCUACACAAGUGU